CAGACCGUCCUAAUUUACCGAACACAAUUUUUGACUAAAUAUUAGUAUAUAACAAAGCCUUCAAGCAACUGAUUGGGACGUUCUCGUAAUGUCCCUGAUUGAAGUUGCCGGCAGAGGUCGCUUUGAUUGCCAGAAAUUGCCUGCAGUUCCAGCCUGACACCCUCACCGGAGAUAAGUAAAAAUAUUAUAACUACAGGCGUACACACACUAGAGGUGUGAAAAGUAUUUGUGUGGACAGAUACCAGUUGCAAAUUACUAUACGACGUCGGGAGUACGAAGGACGUAUGUGAGUUGGGGGAAGAACCUGAUGUCGAACAGACUUACAAAUACAAUAAUAAUGUAGCCCUCUGGUUUAACCAAUAGUCUUUCACUUGCCUUUAAUCUUCAAUUUUCGGUGGCGCGCGACUUGGAAAGUACUUGACUUUGGGUAUGAAACUGAAUAUCCUGUACUUUCUUACUGAGGAAAAGAAUGUAUAACGUUGAACAUAAAUUUGUGAAUAUUGUGUAGUGGAAAUAAAUGCAUCCCUCGGUGCGAGGCGGCGACUGUCUUUGGGUGGCUAAUAAAAGCAGAACGUGCUGCGAGCGUUCAGUAGGUCAACCAGUCUCCGGAGAGAGGAUGUCCACCUCACAGUUCAUUUCAGACUGUUUUUUUUCCCUGCCUCCUUUAACUCAGAAAUUAUUCGGUAGAAUAUAAUUCGGACAAAAUUAGCUUUAUCCUUCCAAUGUAAAAUAAGAUCGAUUUAAAACAUCGACGUUACACUUUGAAAGCAUUAAGUUCGAUAGUAAUUUAUUAGAAAAAGAACAACUUUCCAGCUGAAUAUUGAAUAUAUUCAGUGGUGUCAGAUUUAAUUGCUCAUGGCACAACAACCACAGUUCGACGUUAACACUGACAAUGUUACAUAAAGACAUGGCGUAAAGAGAUAUGGAUCUUAAGAAAGUGCUAACGAUAUAAUAUUGCAAGCGUACAAACUAAACAGUUUUAAAAAGCAGAUUCAUUGAAACGAUUUAUGGCAUUGUCAUUCUGCUGUUCAUUCUAAUUGUGGAAUGGCAUUUAUAUUUAAGAUUUAAAAUAUGAAGAUUUCACACAAACUGAUGGAGAGAUGGAACUAUUGAAUGCUAUUAUCUGCCCAUGGAUAGGCGUACUGUGAGAGCUAUUCGUGCUGCAAUGGCAAGUCUCGGAUUUCCAACAAGGGGGUGACGGUGCUGAUUUUGCCAGUCUGGAGCGUCAGAUGGCAUAUCUGAGCAGUUAUUGUAUGGUGUCUCCCAUCUGUAUGAGCUCCGUUGCUGUUUCUAUUCUGGUGGCAGCAAAGAAAGGGAGAAAAUAACUGGAGGACAGGGAAACAAGUUGCUGGAGUGAUUAAUCCAGCAGGAGAAACCGAGCAGGUUCGCGUCCAGUUACAUCUCGGCACCGAGUAGCAGCGGCGGGAGCGAGAGAGGUUUUUUUCUUGUCUCUCUCGUUGUUGGCAGAAACCCAGCUCCAUUUCAGCGCCGGCACCGAACAACAGAGCGAGACCGACUGGCUUGCAGAAACGAGAUUAUGAUCCGGGUCUGUUCUUCAUUUCGCCAUCAGCAGAUCCACCACCCCCUCCCCAACCCAGUCACCACCACAACCACCACCCCCACGAGUCGCGGCAUCAGCAGAGCUGGGAAAUCAUUCCCCUAGUAAGCAUCGCCAGCAGUUAGCAUCAAAGAUAAAGGAGGGGAGCCGCUGCCAGUCUUCUGACAAGUGAAUUGUCGACAGGCGAAGCCCAACCGUGCACACGGGUUCCGGUAACACCAGAGCAGCCGCAACAGAAAGAGAGUUUGCACAAGCCCUCCCACCCCCACCUCCACCUCCGGACGGCCAGCCCUCCUCUUGCUCUUGUGGUUGCUUGGCACAGGACCAGGUACCCGGCUUUGGUGAUGGUCAGGACGGGAGUGACGUGCAGUGGCCGGCGCUGAGGCCGGGUGGAGGGAGGGAGGUAGAGAGCGCGCGCCCGUCAGUCCGCCAGCCCAGGUGUUCACGAGCGUCACAAUCAGGAGCGGGCCGGGCCGCGGGCGGGAAAGCUGCAGAGAGCCGGAUCUCGCGCCCCUGUUGGACACCCUCCCCCCCACCCGUCCUCACUCUCACAUCAGCACCAACCAUGGGCUGCUGCAGCGGCAGGUGUACCCUCAUCUUCAUCUCCAGCCUGCAGCUAGUAUGUGUGUUGGAGAGACAGAUCUUUGAUUUCCUUGGCUACCAAUGGGCACCAAUCCUGGCCAAUUUUUUACACAUCGUCACAGUCAUUUUUGGCCUUUUUGGGACCAUCCAGUUCAGACAACGAUAUGUAAUCAGGUAUGCCAUCUGGAUGGUCCUCUGGGUCACAUGGAAUGUGUUUGUUAUCUGCUUCUACUUGGAGGUUGGAGGCCUUGCGAAGGAUACUGACCUGAUUAUGACUUUUAACAUUUCUAUGCAUCGGUCUUGGUGGAUGGAGAAUGGACCAGGAUGUGCAGUAGCGACUAUAACUGAUACUCCAGAAUGGGUACCAGAGGAUCACCGCUACAUUUAUAUCAGAGGGUGCCUCCUAGAAUACCAGUAUAUAGAGGUGGCACAUAGUUCACUACAAGUUAUCCUUGCACUUCUUGGAUUUGUUUAUGCCUGUUACGUGAUCAAAAUUGUUGCUGAAGAAGAGGACAGCUUUGAUUUCAUCGGAGGAUUUGACUCAUAUGGCUAUCAGGGCCCACAGAAAACAUCUCAUUUACAGUUGCAACCCAUGUACAUGCUACCUCCUGUUUAAUGAAGACAAGAAUCCCGUCUGCCUUCUUCACUACCCUGUCUACCUGUGCUGACACCUUCAGGGAUCUAUGGAUUUGUACACCAAGAUGACCCAUCACCCUGCUCAUCCACUGCAGAGAACCCAACCUUCUCCUAAGAGAAUGGUAAAGUACCAGUCCGUAUUGAAUUCACUGGCAAGGAGGCAUCAUCUGCAAUCACUGAAGGAGGGCAGGUUGUUGCAGAUCAUCAUCACCAGUAUUCAAAUCUUCAAUAGCGCUUUGUUAGAAUGCAUCAUCAUGGCAAGAUUUUUCUACAGUUCUAACUACUAUUCCAGAGUAUGAUGCAAAAAGGAGUACAGCUAUUGAAUCAGACAAUAGACCACUUAAUUGCCAUUAUGCAAAUGAAGUACAAACAGGGGCUGGAUAUUACAUAUCCUCAUGAAGUGUUGUUUUGGCACGGGGGUAUGAAGGUUUGGGUGCCUAGACCACUCUCUUUCCACCCACUUUAUAAUAUGGAGGGUGGGCAGGUGUUAGAAUCAACAGCUCUUCCACCAUCCAUAAGUGAAUAAUUAAGGGUUAAACUUAUUAAAAGCUCACUUCACCCCAUAAUACACUGCUCGUGACAAAAUACCGAUAUGUGGGCAAUGGGACAUGAACCAGGAGCCUACUUUUAAAUGUUUACAUGAAGAAAGGUGUGAAGAAAGGGGGCAACUCACUCAGGGCAUGCUCUGCAUGUUUCGAGGACGUUCCCCCUCAAAAGGAUACUGACUCACCUUUACUUCUGAUGCCCAAUUGAACCUGGGCCCUGCAGCCCCUCUCACCCCUCCCUGAUAUCUAGAAUCUCUACCACCCUUAAAGCUUGAAGAUUUACCCUUGAAAGCAGUAAUCCUCUUUGGGCUUCUUCCUGCCUACCCAUAGCUCCCACUACUUAACUCUGGUGUUGACAUAAAAGAUGGAACUGCCAAUUAAACAAGUUGCAGUAGUUUCUGAAGGCAGGACUUACUCCUAAGUGAAGAUCGGGAGUCCUACAAUUAACCAAUUUAACCAGCCCAUAAUUAUGGAUUGUUUUCCAGUGGAAGAGUUGGUUUCCAGCCGAUUUUUCUUCCCCUAACUUUCUGUCCCAUGUAUACAUUGACAAUGUUUAGCUUACAGCAUUGUCUUGAGCUGACUACAUUUGGGACAAACAACCCCUUUGUACAUUUAUGAAAUAUAAUUCUAUAGUCAUUUUGUGAGGAAGACUUUAGUUCAACAGCCACAUCAUCUAUGGCCAUGAUGAUUCCUUUUCCCCCAUCCUCCUUCCACAGCUCCAGUGGUCAAGCC